UGAGGUGUCCGUGGCCUUCUCCCCAGAGGCCUCCAGGCCCUGUGGUGUCCGGCCCAGCGGGUGAACUAGGGCCCGGGGACAGGCUGGGUCCUGGGUCCUGCGGCGCCCCAGACCCCCAGGCUGAGCGGGCCCAGGACUUGAAGAGGCCGAGAACCCCUCCGCCAUCCCAGCCUCCUCAUGGAGGAGGCCGUCUCCGUGGGUCCCGGUCUCUGGAGGCCUCGGCACCUGGAGGAACGGACUCUGCGGCUCAGGUUAACGGCUUCCUCCAGCACGUUACCACGUUAGUGACCCGCAUUGUAAGACUUACGUGAUUUAUUUACCUUUGGCUCUGCCCGGUCUUCGUUUCUGUGUGGGCUUUUACUCUCGGUACGCAUCAAGAGCAUUCUGAUGAAGACUCCCUCAUCCCAAGCGGACAGUGGCGUGCAGAUUUUGUAGGCUCCUUCUUCAGUCUCAUUAUCAGCUCAAUCAGCUGCUUUCAAUGAAAGGAUCUCACCAGUGGGAAAAUGGGAGACCGGAAUCUUUCUCCCCAACCCAGUGCUCUGAAGGAAGAAAGACAUUGUUCAGCAAAUUAAACAGGU